rnacentral:tRNA from 1 species
UCUCUGUUAGUAUAUCGGUUAGUACACGCGCCUGUCACAGUGAUGUCGGUCGCGCGAAAGCUGGGUUCGACUCCCAGACAGAGAG